UACGGGGGGAGCAAGCGUUGUUCGGAUUUACUGGGCGUAAAGGGCGCGUAGGCGGUCGUGACAAGUCACUUGUGAAAUCUCCGGGCUUAACUCGGAACGGUCAAGUGAUACUGUCGGACUAGAGUACAGAAGGGGCAACUGGAAUUCUCGGUGUAGCGGUGAAAUGCGCAGAUAUCAGGAGGAACACCGGUGGCGAAGGCGGGUCUCUGGGCCGGUACCGACGCUGAGGAGCGAAAGCGUGGGGAGCAAACAGG
rnacentral:rRNA from 1 species